rnacentral:tRNA from 2 species
UCCCCGGCAGCCCGGUCGGUAGAGCAGAUGGCUGUUAACCCUCGGAGCCGUGGUUCGAAUCCGCACCGGGGAGCCA